rnacentral:rRNA from 1 species
CCUACGGGAGGCAGCAGUGAGGAAUAUUUGUCAAUGGGCGGAAGCCUGAACCAGCCAAGUAGCGUGCAGGAUGACGGCCCUACGUGUUGUAAACUUCUUUUAUCCGGGAAUAACGCGCCUUACGUGUACGGCUUUGCGUGUACCUUAUGAAUAAGGACCGGCUAAUUCCGUGCCAGCAGCCGCGGUAAUACGGAAGGUCCGGGCGUUAUCCGGAUUUAUUGGGUUUAAAGGGAGCGUAGGCCGCAUGUCAAGCUUGCUGUGAAAUGUCCGGGCUCAACCCGGGCCUUGCAGCGGGAACGGGCGUGCUGGAGUCGGCGGAAAGCAGGCGGAAUGCGUGGUGUAGCGGUGAAAUGCUUAGAUAUGGCGAAGAACCCCGAUUGCGAAGGCAGCUUGCUGCAGCGGAACUGACGCUGAUGCUCGAAAGCGCGGGUAUCGAACAGGAUUAGAUACCCCAGUAGUC